rnacentral:rRNA from 1 species
CGUUGUUCGGAUUUACUGGGCGUAAAGCGCACGUAGGCGGACUUUUAAGUCAGGGGUGAAAUCCCGGGGCUCAACCCCGGAACUGCCUUUGAUACUGGAAGUCUUGAGUAUGGAAGAGGUAAGUGGAAUUGCGAGUGUAGAGGUGAAAUUCGUAGAUAUUCGCAGGAACACCAGUGGCGAAGGCGGCUUACUGGUCCAUUACUGACGCUGAGGUGCGAAAGCCAGGGCAGC